rnacentral:rRNA from 1 species
GAUGAACGCUGGCGGCGUGCUUAAUACAUGCAAGUCGAGCGAACGGACGCGAAGCUUGUUUCUUUGAUGUUAGCGGAGGACGGGUGAGUAACACGUGGAUAACCUCCUUAUCAGACUGGGAUCAUUUCGGGAAACCGGAGAUAAUACCGGAUGAUCUUUUGAACCGCAUGGUUCAAAAGUGAAAGACGGUCUUGCUGUCACUUAUAGAUGGAUCUGCGCUGCAUUAGCUAGUUGGUAAGGUAACGGCUUACGAAGGCAACGAUGCAUAGCCGACGGGAGAGGGGGAUCGGCCACACUGGAACGGAGACACGGUCCAUGCUCCUACGGGAGGCAGCAGUAUGGAAUCUGCCGCAAUGGGCGAAAGCCUUACGGAGCAACGCCGCGUGAGUUAUGAAGGUCUUCGGAGCGUAAAACUCGGUUAUUAGGGAAGAACAUAUGUGGAAGUAACUGUGCACAUCUUGACGGUACCUGAUCAGAAAGCCACGGCUAACUACGUG